UUAACAUUCAAAAAAACUUGUUUUCACACGGACCAAAAAGAUGUGCCAUAUAAAAAUACAAAGCCUGUCAUCAACAGCCGUGACCACUUUAGAAUGAACCAGUUCAUUGCAUGCUGAAGCGACAUUGUUGGUCAAGAAACCAGUUUCUGGCAUAGCGCUAUUUGUAGUUACUUUGCUUUCUCUGAGAGACUGCAGAUAAGAUGUAAACAUUAACACCUCGUGAAUACAAGUUAACUUCCAUUUAGCUAUAGCUUUACUCAGCAUGACUGUAGAUAAGAAUAGCAGCAAACAAUCAUUGGAGCUUAAUGAACAUUUUUAAAUGAGUACCAAGGCCUCCCCUCUUGUUGUGUUCUUUCAGGGAUACUAUUAAUUUAAUUGUAUGAUUUCUCUGCACUCAGUUUCUCCCUU
rnacentral:lncRNA from 1 species